rnacentral:rRNA from 1 species
UACGUAGGGUGCAAGCGUUGUCCGGAAUUAUUGGGCGUAAAGAGCGUGUAGGCGGCCCGAUUAGUCCGCUGUGAAAGUCCAGGGCUCAACCCUGGAAUGCCGGUGGAUACUGUCGGGCUAGAGUCCGGAAGGGGCGAGUGGAAUUCCUGGUGUAGCGGUGAAAUGCGCAGAUAUCAGGAGGAACACCAAUGGCGAAGGCAGCUCGCUGGGUCGAGACUGACGCUGAGGCGCGAAAGCGUGGGGAGCAAACAGG